rnacentral:rRNA from 1 species
AGGUUAAGCUACUAAGGGCACACGGUGGAUGCCUUGGCGCUAGGAGCCGAUGAAGGACGGGACGAACUCCGAUAAGCUUCGGGGAGCUGUAAGUAAGCUUUGAUCCGGAGAUUUCCGAAUGGGGCAACCCACCAGCUUGAAGAGCUGGUACCGCCACCUGAAUCCAUAGGGUGGUCGGGGGCAGACCAGGGGAACUGAAACAUCUAAGUACCCUGAGGAAGAGAAAGCAAACGCGAUUCCCUGAGUAGCGGCGAGCGAAACGGGAACAGCCCAAACCGAUGGCCUUGUGCCAUCGGGGUUGUAGGACGUCUCACACGGAGUCACAAAGGGAGCGAAUAGGUGAACUGGUCCUGGAAAGGCCGGCAAUAUAAGGUAACAGCCCUGUAACCGAAAUUCGUUCCCCUCCGAGACGGAUCCUGAGUACCGCGGGACACGUGAAACCCCGUGGGAAGCUGGGAGGACCACCUCCCAAGGCUAAAUACUCCCUAGCGACCGAUAGUGAACCAGUACCGUGAGGGAAAGGUGAAAAGCACCCCGGGAGGGGAGUGAAAGAGAACCUGAAACCGUGUGCUUACAACCAGUCGGAGUCCCCUUGAGGGAUGACGGCGUGCCUUUUGUAGAAUGAACCGGCGAGUAACGGUUGCGUGCAAGGUUAAGGUGA